rnacentral:tRNA from 1 species
GCCCUCGUAGCUCAAUGGAUAGAGCAACCGCCUCCUAAGCGGUAGAUUCAGGUUCGAGUCCUGGCGGGGGUA